UACGAAGGGGGCUAGCGUUGCUCGGAAUCACUGGGCGUAAAGCGCACGUAGGCGGCUUUUUAAGUCAGGGGUGAAAUCCUGGAGCUCAACUCCAGAACUGCCUUUGAUACUGAGAAGCUUGAGUCCGGGAGAGGUGAGUGGAACUGCAAGUGUAGAGGUGAAAUUCGUAGAUAUUCGGAAGAACACCAGUGGCGAAGGCGACUCACUGGCCCGAUACUGACGCUGAGGCGCGAAAGCGUGGGGAGCAAACAGG
rnacentral:rRNA from 1 species